rnacentral:ncRNA from 1 species
GAAAGCUGUAUGCUCGGAAACGGGCCUGUACAGUUUGGGAAGGGGGCAACAGAAAAGGGCUGUUUCGGCAGUACCUCGCUGGUGCCCUACUUCAU